GUGGGGAAUAUUGGGCAAUGGGCGAAAGCCUGACCCAGCAACGCCGCGUGAAGGAAGAAGGUCUUCGGAUCGUAAACUUCUAUCCUUGGUGAAGAUAAUGACGGUAGCCGAGAAGGAAGCCCCGGCUAACUACGUGCCAGCAGCCGCGGUAAUACGUAGGGGGCAAGCGUUGUCCGGAAUGAUUGGGCGUAAAGGGCGCGUAGGCGGCCUGGUAAGUCUGGAGUGAAGGUACUGCUUUUAAGGUGGGAAUUGCUUUGGAUACUGUCGGGCUUGAGUGCAGGAGAGGUAAGUGGAAUUCCCGGUGUAGCGGUGAAAUGCGGAGAGAUCGGGAGGAACACCAGUGGCGAAGGCGACUUACUGGACUGUAACUGACGCUGAGGCGCGAAAGUGUGGGGAGCAAACAGGAUUAGAUACCCGUGUAGUCC
rnacentral:rRNA from 1 species